rnacentral:rRNA from 1 species
GACGAACGCUGGCGGCGUGCCUAAUACAUGCAAGUCGAGCGGACGGAUGGGAGCUUGCUCCCAGACCGUCAGCGGCGGACGGGUGAGUAACACGUGGGCAACCUGCCUGUAAGACUGGGAUAACUCCGGGAAACCGGGGCUAAUACCGGAUAACUCUUUCCCUCACAUGAGGGAAAGCUGAAAGAUGGCAUCUCGCUAUCACUUACAGAUGGGCCCGCGGCGCAUUAGCUAGUUGGUGAGGUAACGGCUCACCAAGGCGACGAUGCGUAGCCGACCUGAGAGGGUGAUCGGCCACACUGGGACUGAGACACGGCCCAGACUCCUACGGGAGGCAGCAGUAGGGAAUCUUCCGCAAUGGACGAAAGUCUGACGGAGCAACACCGCGUGAGUGAUGAAGGUUUUCGGAUCGUAAAACUCUGUUGUCAGGGAAGAACAAGUACCGGAGUAACUGCCGGUACCUUGACGGUACCUGACCAGAAAGCCACGGCUAACUACGUG